CGCAGCCGCGGUAAUUCCAGCUCCAAUAGCGUAUAUUAAAGUUGUUGCAGUUAAAAAGCUCGUAGUUGAAUUUCGGGGUUAGUAGGUUGGUCAUGCCUCUGGUAUGUACUGGUCUCACUGAUUCCUCCUUCCUGAUGAACCUUAAUGCCAUUUAUUUGGUGUUUUGGGGAAUUUGGACUGUUACUUUGAAAAAAUUAGAGUGUUUAAAGCAAGCUAACGCUUGAAUACAUUAGCAUGGAAUAAUGAAAUAGGACGUUCGAUCCUAUUUUGUUGGUUUCUAGGAUUGACGUAAUGAUUAAUAGGGAUAGUUGGGGGCAUUAGUAUUCAAUUGUCAGAGGUGAAAUUCUUGGAUUUAUUGAAGACUAACUACUGCGAAAGCAUUUGCCAAGGAUGUUUUCAUUAAUCAAGAACGAAAGUUAGGGGAUCGAAGACGAUCAGAUACCGUCGUAG
rnacentral:rRNA from 1 species